GUUCACAGCAGUUAGAUGGUGGAGCUCUUUUAUUUCAUUAACAGCUUCCUAACACUUUGGUUUUCUUUCAUCCACUUCAGGUCUUCAGCUGCUGUCGUCUUCUCCUCCUGCACAGACAACAACACGGAUUGAUCACACAAACUCAUCUGUCUUCAGCUGCUGUCGUCUUCUCCUCCUGCACAGACAACAACACGGAUUGAUCACACAAACUCAUCUGUCUUCAGCUGCUGUCGUCUUCUCCUCCUGCACAGACAACAACACGGAUUGAUCACACAAACUCAUCUGU